GUUGGUGAUUAAUAAAGUAAUCAUGCUUGAAUAAAAUCAAUUUAUUAGUUAACAAAUAAAAGGUAAAAUCCAUAAUUUAGUUUGCAAAAAUAGAAUAACUUAAAAACAUAGUGUAAUAGUCAAUUUUGGCCCAGGCCAAUAAAAAUAAAACCCAAAUAAACAAUUAAAAAGUCCCAAAUAAUAAAAAGUCCAUUACAAAAUUAAAACCAAACAAAAAAAAACCAAAUAAAACCCAAACCAACCCAAAUUUUAAAACCUAAUUAAAACCCAAACUACCCAAGCCUAAUUCUAACCCUAACCCAUUACAAAGAAAACAGCAGCAGCCCUAGCCACCAGGCUUCAGCCACCGCUCCUCACCAGCAGGGCCACCACACGCGCCGCUUCGUUGCACGCCAUCUCCUCCACGUGUCACACAACACCUGCAACAAAAUCAAAUGCAACAACGGAGAGAGAGAGAGCACGCGAGCAACAGUGAAGUAAAUAGAAAAAAAAACAAAAAACAGAAACAAAAGGUUGUGAUUUCGGCUAUAAGAGCCAUUUCGAUAUCUCUGUAAUUUUUUUACGAAUAUUGAGCAAUCAAAAAGCAAAAACACAAGAAAAAAGGUUGACUGUUUAUUUCCAUUUCCUUUUUUCAUUUCAUUUCAUUUUUUUAUUUUUUUAUUUUAUUAUGAAUCUAUUUUAAACAAAAAAUAUAAAAGAAGAAACCUCACCUGAAUCCCCACGGAUGCGUCAUCGGAGAGUCUUCUCUGUCACUACAAUCGGUUUUGAAGGGGGGCUGAGGGUUCUCUUCCUUCGUUCUUAUAGGACGCUGAGGGUUUGACCUUCAAAAGGGCUUCGAAAUGGGGUUGAAAUACUCAUUUUUGCACGUCGCCAGCCACUGAACACCGUGGUGGUGUGGCGGGCAGUGAGAACCCGAUCGUCAGAGAAACAAAGGGGGAGAGAGAGUGUUUUGUGGUUCGUUUUUUUUUUCGGGAAAAUAAAAGAGGAAACGGCUGAAUGAAAAAGAAGGAAAUUUUUUGUUUUAAAUCAUCUUUGAAACGGCGUCGUUUGGUGGGGGUGGGGGUCUCUGCAUUCUGCCUAAAGGGGAGAUUU
rnacentral:lncRNA from 1 species